rnacentral:lncRNA from 1 species
CUGGAGGGAAAGGACAGCCUGGAGGGCCUGGAAGAGAAGGACUCCCCGGCGGUCCCGGAUACUUCGGACUGAAAGGUAGACUGUGCUGGGCUGCAAUCACAGGCAUUGUCACAACAGGCCAAUACCAGCAAAGAAGAGCAACCGUCAGUCACGCUAACAUUCAUGUGUUUCUACUUCUGCAGGUGAGAGAGGAUACCCCGGGCUCCCCGGCUUGCCCGCUCCUCCUUAUCGAUCAGAGUUUGUGGAGAGAGGAGAACCCGGAUAUAACGGAGGCAGCGGCCUUCCUGGCUUCCCCGGACCCUAGAGGGGACAAGGGUCUGUCAGGUCUGCCUGGUCGUCAAGGUCUGCCUGGACUUCCUGGUUACGCUGAGCAGAGUAAAGGACAGCCGGGACAACCUGGGUAUCCCGGGCAACCAGGAGGUCCUGGCUACCCCGCACCGAAGGGAGAACCUGGAAUCAUGGGAUUCCCCGGCAUGUCUGGACCAAGGGUAAGAAAACACACACACCGACAAACAUGCUGCAAGUUCAGCCAGUGAGACUCACUGACGGCUUCUUUCAGGGUGAUGAUGGUGGAC